rnacentral:tRNA from 1 species
UGGAUUGGUAGCUCAGUCGGUAGAGCAACGGAUUGAAGCUCCGUGUGUCGGCAGUUCGAUUCUGUCCCGAUCCAU